UUUUCUUGAACGUAUCAAGAAAUCUUCAGUGUCUAAGACGUAAGAGACCUUUGAUGAACUGCAUGCUAUCUUACAUUCUAGACCAUUAAAAAAUUUAAGUCCUUCCAUAGCCUCGGAUGUAAAAGUUUCAUCUCUAACUCCUGACUUCCGUUUAUUUCUUGUCAAGAACACCCCAGGGUUCUCCUUCUGAGGAAUAACAGAGAGGAGUUCAUUGCUCAUAUAAGCUGCAAAAUUUGGGUCCAUUGUAACAGCAGACAUCUCAGGCUUGUCGUAAACAUAGUCCAUGAGUUGUAUAGAAAGACGCGUUUUUUUAGAUGAACAUGCUAUUCUGUAUAUGGUCUCGUCAUGAAGAAGGGCACGCACAUUUUCAUGGUAAACUACAUCUGAAAAUGUGCUAGACUUUCUUGAGAUUUCAUAUGUAUAUAGUUGGAGA
rnacentral:misc_RNA from 1 species